UACAGAGGUCUCAAGCGUUGUUCGGAUUCAUUGGGCGUAAAGGGUGUGUAGGUGGCGCCCGUAAGUCGGGUGUGAAAUUUCGGAGCUUAACUCCGAAACUGCAUUCGAUACUGCGGUGCUUGAGGACUGGAGAGGAGACUGGAAUUCAUGGUGUAGCAGUGAAUGCGUAGAGAUCAUGAGGAAGACCAGUGGCGAAGGCGGGUCUCUGGACAGUUCCUGACACUGAGACACGAAGGCCAGGGGAGCAAACGGG
rnacentral:rRNA from 1 species